CCCCGCCGCAAUCCCCGGGGCUGAGAGCAGACUCCGCUGGGGCUACGGCAAGCUCCCGGCGCCAGCGACAAGCCCUGCCAGCACCGACUCCCUCAGAGCGGUGACAAGCCCUGCCCGGCUCUGAGCGCCAGACGGCUGCAAGGCAAAUGGCGAGCGCCAUUUCGAAGCCCCUACGGUUUUGAGGCGCGACCCCCAUCCCACCCGGCGGCGGGCCGGGUCCGCAGGGCCAGAGACCUGGCGGCAGCUGAGCACACCUCAGAGACAGUGUUCUCUCUGUCUCCGCACAGCUGAGGAGCUGGGACCCCGGCCGCUCGCCCCCCCCACCCCGGGCCGAGCGCUGAGGCGGCGGCGGCGGCCCCUGCUGUGCCGGGGCGGCGCUCGGUCCCGUGAGGCGGCGCGCGCCGGUCCCUCAGAGCGGGCGCGGCCCGGCGGCUCCGGGCGAGGUGCCCGGGGCAGGGCCGGGGGCGUUCGGAAAAGGUCGGUUAAGACCGUGAAAGAGUAAUGUUCAAUGAGCUUUUACAGAGAUAAAACCAAUGCGUAGAUGUGCAUAGCUAGCAGCAUCACUGGGACUAAACGCCUCAGUCGCCUCUGUGCAUUCAGUUCGUUGUGGAGAACAGUAAAUUGCGAGCGCAGCUCCACCUGUGCUCUGAGAAAGGGGUCCCGGUGAAGGAAAUUAUUUUAUAAAGCACUUCUUCCCCCUUUGGGUGUGAAUGGGGAGGAGAUGUCCCAGCUCUGGACUUCUCCUUUGUACCCAUUAGUCUUUAUUUGAGCUUGGUUAUAACCAUUUUUCAGAUUGGUUGUGGUUGCCUGAUGAGAAGAAACUCAGGUAGCUAUUUCUCUUAGACACUUUUCUUUGUUUACAAAAAAAUCUUAGUAAAAGGGGAGGCUGUUCCUUUGCUCAAUAUGCCCACGCUUUUUAACUUGUGAGCACAUCACAGGGGCUCUUUCUUACUCAGUUUUCUGUAGCAAUCUCGCUGCGUUUUUCCAGCUCAUCAGGACCCCCCUCUGCUUUUCCAUGGAGGUUGUAACUGUACCCAUCUCAUACAAUCUGUUACAAAGAGAGCAACUGCUGUAUUUAUCAGCUUAGCGAGGGUGACUCACUCCACAGCAUCCAGUACCACUUCAAAUAUGAAAGCAUUGGUUCUUAUCUAUAUUUAACAGUAGUCUGUCCUUGCAGUCCAUCUAGAAUUGCUUUUCCAGACCCUGCCAGCCUGUUCAACAUACCUUGUUUACAGUCAGGGUACAGUCACAAUGGGUAACGAAACUGUUGGAGCUACACAAGUGGUAUGGUUAUAGACUUCAUAUCCCACACUGGAUUUCCAAACACACAACAGUCUUCCAUGGUGCAGCAAUUUUCAUUGCAGUGGCUUUGUAAGUACAACUGAAACUCACAACUUGCCAGUAGAGUCAUCCCUGGAUUGCAGAAAUACCAUAAUGGGGAAUUUGAAAAGGCAGCCUAUUUAUUGCAAUUUAAGAUUAAAAAAAACCCCAACACUACCCAAACACAACCCAACCCCCCUUAGCUUAACUUCUCAAUUUCAGCAGGAAUAAAUACCAAAGCACAUAAUCCUUUCAUUUUUGUAAUGUUAUAAAGGUUAAUGUUACUGUUUGCGGUCAUGGGAAGUGUUGUCCAUCCUAAACUACAAUUUACAUGAACAUUGCUUAUUCUGAAGCCAAACCAAAACAAGCUAUAUUUAAGUACAGCUAUUACUUUUUAUCGUUGCUUGCAAAACUCAGGUAGAAAAAACAAUUCUUAAUUGUUGUAGUGCUUCUGAUUACAUGUGCAGUAAUGACAGACCCAUUAUACAAUGGCUGCACUAAUGCAAGCCAUUCCUACUCUUAGAAUGCAUUUGAAAAUUAAAUAAUUUGUAAUUUUUAUGGCCAUGGUAGAUGCCAGAAGGUGAAAAGCUAUUAUUAAAUGACAUGUUAUAAAAUGCUAUAGCCUCAAGAAUUGAAUGGAAACAAAAUAUUUCAUAGGCAGUAAAUAGUCUACAGUAUUUAACUGAUGAGCUCAUCCAAAGUGUAUUCCGUGAAAGCGUUCAGUGGCUGAACAUUAAGUAGGUUUUUUGGGGAAUCUGCUCCUGUUUAAAUUGUCAUACAAUACUGACUUAUAGAGAAACAUGUAACAACAAGUUAUAAAUAGAGGGAUUUUAUUCUUAAAACACAUUAUAAAGUAACCUACUCUAUCUGUAAUUAAAAGUUGAGAUGCACUGUCUUACCCUGAUUUGAAAUCUUAAAAUCUCUUUAUUUAAAUGGAUAUACACAAACAUUCACUACAGUAAAUUCCUUUAAAAGUUAGGAGGACUUCAUGCUUUUAAAAUACCUGUUCAUCCUGUGUGCAUUCUUCUUUGUCCGGAGAUGGACUGAUGAUUACAAGAAUGCAUGAUUGCAUUAAGCUGCACACAUCAUAAACACGGGUGAAUCAGAAUUUAAUGUAAUAAUACUAAACAGGUUUGCUGGAAGGGAAAAAACAGUUGCUGGAGAAUUUAAGGACACUGCUGAAAUGCAUACUACUUUUGUGAAAAUCUUCAGGCAGUUUUGAAUUUAUCUAUAUUUGUAUGCAAAUAUAGAUACAGCACUGUGAACUCUAAGUAUCCAAGUUAUGGUGUAUUGUUUCAUAUUGUCUUGUGCUACCAGGUCACAUAGGUGCUGCUCUGGUUUUCCUUUCUUAGCUUUUAAAUAAAUGCAAAUGCACCUUAUUUAAGGGUUGCCACCAUCUUGAAUGAAACAGACUGUGUGUAAGGGGUUUGGUAGCCAAGGUCUUAUUGCAGUUAGGUUUUUAGACUGACAUCUGAAAUGACAGCUUCUAGCUUUAAUGUUUCUGUGCAUACAAACACCAUUGCUCUAGCUGAGACAUCUAGUUUUCUUCUCUUGCACUAGUAGAAAAAUCCUGAAUACAAAACUACCGCAUUACCUGAAUACUGAGGACAGCAAGGGUAAAGCAACUGAGGAGUUUUACAGCAUGGAUAGAACAAAAAACAGCAAAGGGGACUGAAAAGGAGAGAACACUUGCAUUCAAAAAUUGUUCAGCAAUGAAGGAAAUUAAAUACCAGCAAUGUUAACAUAAGAGUGGGUUCCACUGCCUCUAAAAUCAAAGGAAGCAAUGAGAAGAAUAUUGGAGCUUUAUGCAUAUAUUCGAAGAUGAUUUAAAGAAGAAGCCAGCAGCUGCAGAGUACUCAGAUAAGGACUAGAGAAGUUCAGCAAAACUGUGUAGGUAGCAGGGCAGCAUUAAAGAAUAAUUACACUACUGCUGGGAAAGAGCAGAGAAGCAGUGCAACAAUAUAACAGUGCUAGCCAAGACUAAAGUGCAAGGUACAUAACCACAGUCCAGCCCUUACAAAUCAUAAGCACAAACUGCAGACCUCAGGCAGACGCCUGGAAACAGAAGGGGGGAGAUAGAAUGCCUGAUGUAGCGAUAGCACUGAAAUGUAAAUAGCAUUGCUGAACCACAGGGAGUUGGAAUUAUAUUGGAUUCAUUCCCAGCUCCAAACUCCAGAGGAAAGGUGACUCAAAGGACUUAAAAGCCAACAACAAAAAUACACACAGAAGAGCCUACGCAUUGUAUACUCUAGAUACUAAUUCCAAGAGAAAGAGCCACACAGAGUCUAGCAAGUGAUGUGCACCAGUUAGUGGUACCUUGUGUACAGCUCUUCCAUAACACAAGUCUGGUUACCCAUAUAUCAUCAACUUACUCUUUAUUCUGCAGAGCUGGAGUGUGAUGCUCCCUAGAGUAAUCCUUACUCUUGCUUUGUACAUCCCAUAGCUAAUUAUUAUUUUAAAAUUAUUAUUAUCACAGAAUAUUCUGAGUUGGAAGGGACCCACAAAGAUCAUAGAGUCCAACUCUUAGCUCUGUGUGGAACAUCCCUAAGAAUCACACCAUGUGCCUGUUAUUAUGUUUAAACCUAUGCAUUUAUCUGAACCACUGAAUGGCCUGUAACACUCAAAUGCUAGGUCUGAGUAAGUAUGUAGGACAUAAUGAUAAGUUUGGAAGAUGAACUUAUCCAAAGAACCAAAGUGCCUUCUCCUUACCUCUUCCCAGAUACAACCUUCCCCCCCCCCAUAGUGCAGAAAAUUAAAAGCUGUAGAAGGAAACAGUAAAAUGAGAUGAUAUUUCAUAUUAAGGAUAUCUUAUGCAAAUUCCCUAUAAUUAUGCUGUAUACAAUUCUAAUAAACAGCAAUGCUGGCUAGGAUGAUUCUAUUUUAUUAUUUGCUGUUUUUCUUCCUACAUGUAAUGAGUUCCCUUAGUGUUCAAAAUCCAUCUUUCCUGCCACACACUUACAAGGGUAAAUCACUUGAGUGGGCUAUUUAUUGUUGCUAAGGGAACCACCUUGUUGGUAUUCACACACGUUAACAUGUCUUUUGACAUGUUUCUGAGGACAAGAUGCAACACAGCUCUGCAGCAUUGAGUGAAAAAAAUGUAUUGCCGCAUUCUUGGAAAUAUCCUCCCACGGAAGAGCAGCGUUACUCAGUACCUUAGCUUCAGACUGCUUUGGAUUUCUUACUUGUUUCUUUAGACAGAUAAAAAUUGUAAAAUUAUAUGCAAUAAUCUGAUUAAUGGUUCCUAAUUUUGCCCAGAAUUAAACCAGAAAGAAUACCAGUCUGUGAAAUAAGUGUUGCUAAAAUAGCACCCUUCUAAUUUUUUUAAAAUACUCUUUUCCUUGUAUAAGGAAAAUUUUCUGUAUGAAAUCUUGCUAUUAUUUAACUAAAAAUACCCAAUCCAAGUAGAGGUAAAGUGGAAGUAGGAGCCAUUUCUGAGUAACCAGGUUAUUUGAAGGUUAUUUGAAUUACAUCUGCUGGAAAGUAUCAGUUGUACAAAUACUGCACUAGACUCACGAAAGGCAAUAAGCCUCUUUAAUGCUUAGAAAGUAUUUGUUUCUUGAGAAAGCAGCUUCUGGCAGGACAAAAAAAGAUGAUGUAGAGAUACUGAGGAGGGAUUAUUAUGUCCAGAGUCACAGCUGACUAUGAGAAACAACCCUAUUUAAAUUUCCUGUUGAUUUUGAUUACUGCCAACAUAUCUGUGUGACAAGGGACAUUUGAGGUUAAAGGAAGCAAAGUCUGAAAACAUGCAGAAAGCAUGAAAAGGACUCUAUCUCGCUUAAGUCUUGUGUGCACAUAUAUAUUUCUUUGAUGAUGAAGAUCCUACUACCUGGAUUUGCUCUAACACCAGUUGAUCUAACAUUAGAGCAGCACUUAAGAUUUACUUACUGAUCCAAACAUGAGGUGUUCCCUGUCUUAAAGGAGCUUACAAAAGUUGAGACAAAACCAACAGGAUAAAGCAGACAGCUAGAGAACCUAAAUGAAACAAUUAUUAACAUUUCCUUCAGCUGCCCUGAAAAGCUUAGUUUAACAAAACCUGCAUGUCUCGUUUACAUGAGCAGUUCUCACCAAAUACCUCGUUGCAGAGCUGAGAUUAAAACAGCAGCUCCACACUAAACUCUCUCGAGAACAACAGAAAAUUGUCCUAGAACACAGACAGUAUCUCUUAAGGUCUGUGGAGAUACUUUGAAAAAACGCAAAGUUAGUUUUAAGUUUUCAAAUUAUGCGUAACAAAUCUAAAAUGACCAGCAAUACAGAGCAAGAAAGCAGCCACAGUCUCUACAAACUAGUUUUCAAGCUGUACCCCCUGGCUAUCUCUGCAUGAAGUACUCUGAGAAAAUGCAAUCUUAUUUGAAAAGUAUUGCUGUACAGUUGCAGAGGACUCUCCAGCUGGUUUAGGCUUCUUUUGUUGUGCAAUACUAGAGAAACAAAGUAGUUGCAUAUACAACAUGGAGACAACGAAGGCAUGAAAGAAGAGAGCUCCAGCUUUUCAAAGAAACAGAAAGAAAAUAACACUUCUCACAGCAAACAGACUUAGUGGCUUCAACAGCCAGGUGCAACGGAUAUUCCCUGUCAACUAAAAAACAGGCAAAGGCUCAUUAUCUGCUUUAGGUAUUUGCCAGUACUGAACAAGUAAUGCCCGAGAACAUGUUGUUCUGAUUUGGCAAAUGCUUCAGUUCCGUUCUACAUUAAAAUGGGACCCAUACACAUUUGGUCACCAGAUUUAAGGCCAUAGUAUAGAGACAGUAAAUAUUUUAACAACAGUUUUUCUAAGUGUUGGGCAUGGAGAUUACUUGUUUUUUUCCAGUUCUAAUCUCUGAAAGGUAUUUUGCCUUUUUUUUUUUGUUCAAACAUUAAAAAUAAAAAAAAUCCAACCAUGAGGAAUAAGCUCAGCAUAACUGAUUUCAAUCAAAAUUCUUAAAAAAUUCAGUAGUAACAAGCCAUCCUAUGAUGGGAAAUGUAUUAAAUAACAAGUAAUGUAAGCAAUUCCAGUAGCUCAAUUAACACAGACAUUAUGGGCAGCAUAAGAAAUUGCCUGAUGGAAUUUGAUUUCACAGGAAAAGUUUUCUUCCAGAGAAGUCCUGCUCCAUGACAGCAGGUAAUGGAAGAAGGAAAAAGAAACCCAUUAGCUGCAGUUCUUCAAACAUUGUUUCCAUACUCAGUGGAAAUGGAAAGGUUAGGCAUCCAUGUGGUACAUACAAGGGAUAAAGACAAAAGGAAUAAUAAGUUGUUUAUUGGGUAGUAAAUCAUUCAGUGAUGUGAGGGGUUUCCACAGAACCAGCUCCCAAUUUUCACAAAUUCAGACCAGCCUGCUCUACAUCAAGUGACAGAAUUACAGGAAAUGGCUUUGCACAUAAUGGUACUUUAAGAAAAGCUCAUUUUGAGACAUUUUAACUGGAACUCAGAGCUAAAUUUAAAAUGUUUUUCAAAAGAGUGGGAUUUUUUCCCCAUAUUUUCCUGUACCAUGCAAAAGCAUACAUCGUGAAAGACAUGUUUUAGGGUAGUAAGGGUAGCCUUUUGAAACUACCAUUUAUUUAACAAGAUUAACUUUUGCUUUCUCAGUAGUAUUUCAAAGAAUUGCAAUAUUUAAAGCAUAUGGCAUUAAAUCUCCUGAAUUGUUAGUGGUAGGAAAGUACAAAUGAUACAGUGAAUAAUAGAAAAAGUUAAAACUUAUCAAUUAAAAGGACUUUUAAUUUGGUAAAAUACUCUGGCCCAUCUCUACAGCUAAGAAUUCAUGAAGUGUUUGACUUCACAGAGAAUAUGCUUUUCCUGCUUAAGGACAUCAAUUUGCAGCAACUGAUAACCUCACACAACCGAGAAAGAUGACAAGUGCAGUGAAAGGACAUUGCAGGAGGAGAAGAGGCUGGGGAAGUCACAAGGCUGAAAUUGCAGGAGCUGGAACUCUUCUCAGAGUAAGAGAAUUUGCAGGGAAACAACUGUGCAUCUGAGAAAACACAUGAGUAGGGACUUCAGGCACUGUGAAUGCCCUCCCAAAAGGACAUUCAUGCAGCGUGGCCUUCAGCCCAGCAGUGUGGAUCUCACUGACUGCAGUGAGCAAUCUCACUCAAACAACACAAACUGUCACACAGAGACAGCCUCCUCUCAUUAAGUGCACUUCCUCAUAUCCUGAUAAUUCACAGCAGUCAACCUCCACAUACUGGGUCAGCUCAUUCCUGUAGGUUUCUUACUCUGCAAACAGCAUAAUUUCAUUCUUAUCCAUGCUAAUGCUCAGGCAGGCUUCAUUUAUCACUACCCCCACCUCUGAGAAAAGAAAGCAAAUAGCAGGACUGCAGAAUCUGGGUUAGAUGAAAAUUAGAUCUAAAUCUUAUGAAGAUCAGCACAAAACUCAGCCUCCUCUGGCAACUAUACACACAACAGAAACUGAUCUCAUGGGACUCUGAAGAACAUUUGUUGGAUACUGCAGGAAAAUAUCCCGUUUUAAAAGAAAAAAUGUAAUUUCCUUGUGAAAUACUGUGAGUUAUGCAAGAUUCCUAUUGCAGGGAUGAUGAAAAUAUUCACUGACAAUUUCAGGCCACCACUGAUGGUGACAGAUGCUGUUAUCCAUAGGUCAAGAUCAAAAAGAAAACUGUUUCACCAAAUUUCUCAAAGGUCAAAAGAAAAGGAAAAAUUUAAUACAUAAAUAUGUACAUUCAUCAAAGAAAUAGUUAUUCCAGAAACAGAUUUGACAGAAAAGAUCAAGCACAGUUAUCCCAGAAGUACAGUUUCUCAACUCAACAUUUUAACUUCAGCAUUUUGCAGCAGCAAUGCUGUAAUAGCCGGCACAACUUUAAGUGCUAUACCUACGACUAAAAUAAUCCAAAUUACUAAUACAAAGUACAUGACUGUGUGUAAGUAACAAAUUAAAACACAUACCAGGUUUACUCUCUAUGCAAAGUAUUUUGCAUGCAUAAGCUUUCAAUAUUUAAAUAAUUGCCUGGCUAUUGGGUGGAAUUCAAUGUCAUUUUGGAUGACUGAGGUAGAGAGAAAAAAAAUUCAUGAACACACAGAUUGACAGUAGACUUUUAUUAACAUAUCUUACAAUGCCGAUUACUGUAUUCCUAGUUUUAUAAUCUUCUGAUGUGUUAUCAAGGUUGAUUUAGAUUCUACAGUAAUGUACUGUACUUAAAUGAUCAUUCAUACAGGAUAUCACACCAGAAUAUUUGAGUAAUACACGCACACACCACUCUAGUUUGGACCUGUUAUUUUUCAAGGUUAGCUUAACAAAGUAGGAUUAAAAAAGUUAUGGGGGAAAUAAAAAUUCUUGUUUAGCAGCAUGCAAGGAUAUUCAAGUACAAUUUUUCAACCAAGUAAUUUUUUGUUGUUGUUGUUGUUUUUAAAUCGACUGGUGACUAAUUCACCAGUACUAUAAUAAACACUAUGAAAUACCCAGAUGUUAAAGUUAAGGCUAAUAGUUUUACUUCACAUCCAUAUGCACAACCAGAGAACAUUCCAUUUUAAAUAAAACACAGUAAUCAAAUUUCGGACACAUUAUCUCUUGUAUAUAUAGCAUUGGAGCUUCAAACUACAGAUGUACUCAAGUUCAGGAGCCCUGUAAUAAUGUUAUGCUGGCAAUGUAAAGAAUCUUUUUGCUCUUUAACCACAUUUACAAAAUGGCCUGAUAUUCAUAAUGAGCAAUGCAAAAAUAUCACAGGCAGAACUUAUAAUACAGUAUCAAAAAAGUACUAUUUUGGAAAAGACAGCCAUUUAGUCGGUGAAACAGAGUAAUUCUAAUCUUACAGGAAAUACUGUAAUACUUUUGAAAUAUAUAUAUAUUUAUAUGUAUGUAUAAAAACCAGCAUCCUUUAUUGUAGGGUUUUCGAAUUGCAGGUAUUCAGAAAAACUCAUUGUAUUUACUUACUUUUCCUUCAGUCUGUUCUUGAUUGCUAUACAGUAAUUUUAUUUCCCCUAUACACUUUUCACUAGAUAAUGACUUCCACUGGGGAACUCUUUUCUUUGUGGUUUUAUCAUAAGAUGUUUUUAUUUUACACAUAUAAAUUUUAUUUUACACUCAAGCUAUGAAAGUCAAAACUACCAGGAACUGCUUGGUAGUACUGUAUGAAAUAGCCAACGAAUGUCCAA